ACGAACGCUGGCGGCAUGCCUAACACAUGCAAGUCGAACGAGACCUUCGGGUCUAGUGGCGCACGGGUGCGUAACGCGUGGGAACCUGCCCUUAGGUUCGGAAUAACUCCCCGAAAGGGGUGCUAAUACCGGAUAAUGUCUUCGGACCAAAGAUUUAUCGCCUUUGGAUGGGCCCGCGUUGGAUUAGCUAGUUGGUAGGGUAAAAGCCUACCAAGGCGACGAUCCAUAGCUGGUCUGAGAGGAUGAUCAGCCACACUGGGACUGAGACACGGCCCAGACUCCUACGGGAGGCAGCAGUGGGGAAUAUUGGACAAUGGGCGAAAGCCUGAUCCAGCAAUGCCGCGCGAGUGAUGAAGGCCUUAGGGUUGUAAAGCUCUUUUACCCGGGAUGAUAAUGACAGUACCGGGAGAAUAAGCUCCGGCUAACUCCGUG
rnacentral:rRNA from 1 species